rnacentral:lncRNA from 1 species
CUUGAAGUGAAAGACAGUUUGGAAAUUUUUAGGAAUUUCCAGGAAAAGGGGUCUUCGGUGCCUCUGCCCUUGGCAGUGAACUUGGUCCACAGGCUCCCCCUCGCCUCCUCCCCACCCUUCUCCUCCCCUCCCUCCUCCUCUCCUCCCUCCUCCCCUCCCUCCUCCUCCCCUCUCUAAGUGUUCCAUCCAAUUUUCUCUGGAAUACAUGUAGUGAGGAGGCCUCAAUGACUUCCCAAGGGACCUUCCUUAUAGGAAGAAUCACCGCUGGAAGAUUAUGAAACCUCUGUAAAAUAUGUGUGUAGGAACUCGCGACGUUUUGAUCGCUACCAAGGAGAAAAAAAGGGACAGUUUCUUAUGAGUCAGUUUCCUGAACAUUUUUUAUGUUUUUUUUUAAAUUAAUUAAUCCUUUCCCCCCUUUGUUAGGAAUUCCUGGCACAGACACAGCCCCGGAGAAGGGAAACAUCGCCCACGGGCUGUAUGUCUAAACUGUCAGGUUUUCAACCCCAAAUCUCUGGAGGCGAGGCCAGAUUUCAUGUGCUUCCUGUGAAGCAAGGAGACUCUUGUCAUCGUUGGAGAGAAGGGAGGCAUUAUGACUCGAGGUGCCACCACUGCCACUGGCAAGCGCCAUAUGGUCCCACACAGCCACUUCCCUGGGCCGUCUCCACCAUGGACUGGGAGGAGCGCAGGACGCACUGCCACCCAGCCACUCUAGGGCCUGGUUUUCCAACCCCCGCCCCCCGCCCUGAGGAGUUUGCAGCCAAAGACAAUGAACUGAACAGUUUCCCCAGCUGUAGGAGGGGAUUGGGGUCCCACCGUCUGCCUUUGUCACUAACUCAUCCUGAAACUCCUUCUCGAUCUCUGUUUCUUCAUCUGUAAAGUGAAAAUCCAGAAAAUCUGCCGGGACGAUGAGAGAGAAUAGAUAGAUACACCAUACGUUCUCAAACAGGGGUGGGUCUGCUCUUGUCCUCUCCUCCUAUCCAGGGGACAUGGUCAUAUCACAGAGAUUUUAGGUUGUCACAACUUAACGGAAGGGGCUUCCUCUGGUACCUAGUGUAUAGAGGACAAGGAUGCCGUCCUCUGAUAACAGUCUCCCACCACCAUGUGUUAUCCAGCCCAGACACACCUAUGGUGCCGAGGCUGAGAAUCCCUGAUAGAGAAUAGCUGGCAAACAGUUGGCGAUUAAAGUGGAAUGUGGGAAAGGGAAUUCAGUAAGGGUGUUCAAUAAUCCUUAGCUCUGAUUUACUGAUCCAAGAUCAUUUGCAGCUGUCUUGAAGGAUCCGAAGGCUGCAAACAAGCUCAGCCAGACAGUGUCAUGAUUGAUUAGUGAUGUCUGCCAUGGGCACGGCAGGGGGAAGCGGCAGCCUGAGUGUGGUGUAUUUUCCGACCCUGGACCGUGUGCUGUCUAGCAUCUGUUUCUCCUCUGACAUUCUGUGAUUCUAUUGCUGAGAUUCCAUGAGUCUAUCUCUGAAGUUCUGUAGUCAGCAUUAUUUACAGAAUAUUCAAGCAGCCCCGGCUCCUGCAGGAUUGCUUUGGCAGGGCGGGCUGGUGAGCUGAGAGCCAGGUGGCCCUGUGCAAGGUAAAAUAGAUGGCUGUGGACCGGAUGAGAUGUGAGUGACGUGGCAUGCUCCCCCCCACCAUCUUCCCCAUCUCUCCUGGGCUAACAUUUUUAGUGUUAGUUACUCUGUUGGAUGAAAGCAUCGUCGUCAGGAGAUGGUGGUGCUUAAAUGCACAACUGUUACCUUGAAGGGGUCAGCAGUCGUCCAUCCCGAUGCAUUACUCUGCUAACCUAGCUCAGUAGGACAGAACUGGGAGGAAAUGAGACAAGAUGGGUUAUAUUUUGAGAGCGGAUGCGGAGGUGUGGGACCUGUGGAUUAAAGGGCUCUAGUCAGAAUCACUGCAUGGCUGGAUUCUAGGAGGUAUCAUUCACACUGGGACUUCGAUGUGUUUUAAAAACUCAAGAUCACAUGUCUCAGGAAACUGCUCUGUCCCCACGCAAGCCAGGACAGCUGGCUACCCUCAGUCUAGGCCACACGGCAUGGGAGGAGCUUCUUGGUCCUUUCUGUAAUUGAUCCCUCCUGCUGCUGCCUGAAUUUUCUUCCUGGUCAUGCCCUUCCCUUGCUUAUGAAUUGUCUGUGGCUCCCUAGGACCCCUGGGACUAAGUCGGAAUUGGCCUCCACCUUGCUUCCUGUCAUGGCCCGAUCCACCUCUCUUCUGCUGAGAGGCUCCCCAGCAACCUGAGAUCAGCCGUCCACUCUCCUGUGUCCACUGAGUUAGAGGGGGAACCCACUGUCGAGAGUGUAUUCAAUUUAUGUCAGCAGAAAAGGAGCUAAUUGGCCUGAUGCUGCUCAAGAUGUCCUCCUUCCCUCCCUCCUUUCCCCCCCUUUCCUCUUUCCUUCCCUCUUUAAGCUUUUCGAAGCAGUUUCACGUACCUGCUGGCCAGAUGCCCUCUGUGUCUCUGACCACCAGGUAAGACAGAUGCCAUGCCUAUUGAACAGGUGGGAAAACUGAGGAUCCUUUCUUCUAAUAUUUAUUUUUUUAGUUGUAAUUGGACACAAUACCUUUAUUUUUCUUAUUUAUCUUUAUGGGGUGCUGAGGAUCGAACCCAGGGCCUUGCACGUGCUAGGCGAGCGCUCCACCACUGAGCCCCAGCCCCGGCCUAAGGAUCCCUUACUCAAUAAAGCAUGGUCUCUGGACAGGGAAGAGCAGAUCCCAGGGACGUCCUGAGCAGCUCAGCAGUUCCGGACUGUCACUGAUCCGUCUUCUGCACCAGGCAUCACGUCUCUGAAACCAUGAAAACCCAGAUCAUCUCUGCAGCUUGAUACCUUCUCUCUGCCCAGCCCCUUUGCCGGGUUCUGGGUGUGCCCUGCUUCGUGUCAGUACUUGCAGCAACAUGUUGAGGUGCCGUUACUGUCACUGGCCCCACAGACAGGGGAGGACAUUGAGGCUUCAGAGGGGACAAGCAACUUUCCUAGGGUCACCCAGCUUGUCAGGUAGGUACUGGGCUGUCAGGCCUCCCGCCUGAGCCCCUGGCUUGCUUUGCAAAGCUGACUAUUUGCUCUGGCGUGUUCAUAGAAGGAGAUAAAGAUGCCAUUUUUCUGAGGUCUGGACUUUGCCUCUAACACCCCGCUGAGCUGUCCCCCCCCCCAGCCACCCUUAAAGAGGAGAGGAAGGUCACACGUGUUAAUUGAGCAACUAGAGCGAGCGAACACAGGCACACUUGUUUUUCUGCCACCUGGAAAAGGACACCGUGGGUUCAGAGGAAAUGGAAACCCACUGGAUUGACCAGAUGACCAACCCUGGCACAGCUGGUUUGCAGACGGUGAUGCUCUCUGAUUUGCUUUUUCCAAACCUUGAGGGCACAGUUUUCCUUGAGUCUUCAGGUCACAUAACUGCAGCGCGAUUCUCCAGCAGCUUGGUGCAGGAUCUUCAGCACAGACUCUCAGAACCAGAGCCAGAAAUCCACCCUCCCACCCAUGCUGAGACCCAAGAGGUGGGCAGCAGGCCCAGGGUCCCCGGAUCCCAGUUGAGUCCCACUGCCCACAACUUGCAGUAGGUGGCGCCACGGCCCCGGUUUAACAAGGACGGCAGGAAGGUGGGAAGGAGGGGGAAACCCAGAAAGAAAAACCAGUGGAAAACAAGGAUUUAAAAGCAGAACAAUUUGUUCCAAAACAUUUGCCUUGUGACAGGGUCAUCUAUAAAUUCUGGGAUUUCCUGCUUGCCGUGGGGCAGGCCGAGGGCGGGCGGCCACCUUAACUCCCCGCAGUCUGGGAGAAUCAUUGGAAGCCCAGCUCCCGGGCUCUGGCCUCCCCGGGGUCGAGACUGGCUCUGAAAUUUCCCGGCUUUUGUGCCCUAAGCAGGAUCCUGGGUCGGGCAGCUCUGGAGGAAAGCCAUGCUCCAGUUUCCCUGGGCUGGGAGGAGGGGCGAGCGGAGCUCCUGGUCGUUUUUAAAGGAGAGGCUGCCCUCUCCGUCUCUCUGUCCCUUCUCUGCCGUCUGCCUUGAUCUAAAGCCAGAAAAUAAGUAAAAGCCAUCAAAAGGACAGAGUCGGGGGUGGCCCUGUUCCAGUCCGCACGGGCAUCAACAGGGAGAAAAAUCACCCCUUUGCCAGCCCAGUAGAACCUGGACAAAACCCAGCCUGGCCAUGUGGUGAGAGAGGAGCCCAGCCUUUCCCUGCCCAGUGAUUGCAUCACAGAAUCCCAGCAGCUAGACGUGGUGGACGGGCCCCGGGGGCCGUGGAUUCGCCAGUCAUUGGAAGGAGCAUCUUACACCUUUGGAGGCCAGGGAGCUCCUGAGGCUCAGGGGUCACUGUGCUGGAAGCCCUACACGUGUGGAAGCCCUCGUCCAGUGCAAGCAUGUUUACUUUCUCUUGCCACUCAUGUCCUCUUGGGAUCCAGGUGACCCUCCUGCUGGGAAAACACAAACACAGGACGCGGAGCAUCAAGACUCUGAAGGAAAGAUCUUAUGAACUCACAAGGAUAGUUUUGUACGUCGAAUACAGUCACGGGGUGUUUACAUCAACAGCAAGCUGCGAAUGUGACACGGAGCUGAAACAUUCCUAUUGCCAAGGGACAUUGUAGCCGUCAUGAUGCCAUAGCAAAAUGUGGUUCUUAGCCUGUGCGGUGACGCUGGUGUGAACGAACCUGCUGCACGGCCUGUCCUAUGAAAGCAUAGCCCAUAUAAUUAUGUACAGAAGCUAACACUCGAUCAUGGUGAUGAAUGUCUGUUACUGGCUUAUGUAUUCACCCUACUGAAUACUGCCUAUCGUUGGCUUAGAGUGUGCCCCUUCUGCUCUCAUAAACCAAAAGUUCACUGUAAAAUAUUCUGCUGUGUUACACCAGCAACAACCUCGUCCCUCUGAGUUUCCUGCGUCUCUUGAUGGUGUCCAGAGGACAAGUCGAGUGAUUGACUGGUGUCAUCUAGGCUUGUGAAAACGCACCGUGAUCUUCAGGCAACUUUGAAACCACCGAAGGAUGCAUUUCCUGGCAUGCGUCCUGGCCCGCGAGGUGUCGAGAGCAGGCUCAGAGUUACAUUUUCUUCUCACCCAAGGAACCAGGUUCAGAAGCUGAGCUGGGACCCCGUAAGGGAAAAAGCAACUGUGAAUCAGGCUCCUGGUCAGAGUGAGGAGCCUGGGUCCGGGCUGGGUCACUACUCAGCUGAGCGACAUUGAUGAGCCAUAGAUCUUCCUGGGUCUCAGUUUCCUCAUCUGUUUAGGGGGUGGUGGGUUGGGCAGAUGAGGAAUUGCCAUCUCAAAUGCCUACCGAGGUGCCAGGUGCCAGGCAAGGGAGUGACCAAGAGAGACUGGCCAAGGGGGCAGCUGCUUCUUAGCCCCAGCUGCCCGUGGCCUAGAAGGUACUGGGGACUAGAUUUUUAAGAAGCCAGGAGUCUGGAGUUUUGUGGAAAUGGUUCCGAGUUGUAAGUCAAUGGAGGUCAAACCAAUCAGGUCUGGGGGGUCCACCUGGUUCUCAGGCCUCAGGGAUUCCAAGGUCCACAGGACUCUUCCAAGUUCAGGAAACCCUGGGGACCGUGUCCACUGUUCACAUCCUCACUGUUCUAUGUUGACACCCAAGGCCUUGCCUUAUUCUGUCUCCCUUCAGAGUUGUCUCCACUGCUACUAACUCGGGGACCCAUUCCUGUCCCCUUCCCCCCAGAAGCCCAGGCAAAAGCUCCUCCCUGUGCACUGGUCUUAAAGGGCAGCACAUCUCAGCUACCAGGGAGCCCAAGUCUGGAGAUUAGAGUCUGCGUUCUCUGAGGUUCUUAGUAAAUGUUUGUCAAAUAAAAGAAUGAAUGAACAACCCCAAGCCUUAAUUGGUUUGUUUGUUUCUUUUCUUUUCUCCUCCUCCUCCUCCUCCUCCUCCUCCUCCUCCUCCUC